rfam:Perkinsus marinus ATCC 50983 gcontig_1104296678970, whole genome shotgun sequence.
GACAGUUUGGCCGAGUGGUCUAAGGCGCUGGCUUAAGGCGCCAGCCCGAAAGGGCGUGGGUUCGAACUCCACAGCUGUCA